AUUUGAGAUGCCACUGAGCUCCUUGUUGCACGAGCUGACCUGGGGCUUUGAGAAUAUGAAGUGGAAUAUUCAUUAACCUUCUUCCUUGAGUUUGUUGAUGAAAAAGAACCUGUCUCUACCUGACUUUGAAAUCCGAGGUGGUAGAGGCCUUGGGGGUCUUGAAGGGGGUGGAGCACUUGUGGGUUGAGUAAAAAGUGGAACUUCCGACACAGUAAGCCACACAUCAUCAGGUGAUUC
rnacentral:misc_RNA from 1 species